rnacentral:rRNA from 1 species
CACGUAGGGCGCAAGCGUUGUCCGGAAUUACUGGGCGUAAAGGGUGCGUAGGCGGGAACACAAGUCAUGUGUGAAAUUCCGGGGCUUAACCUCGGAGCUGCACUUGAAACUGUGUUUCUUGUCGGAUGGCGGAGAAAAUGGAAUUCCACGUGUAGCGGUGAAAUGCGUAGAUAUGUGGAAGAACACCUGUGGCGAAAGCGGUUUUCUAGCCUACCCGAGACGCUGAGGCACGAAAGUAAGGGGAGCAAACAGG